rnacentral:lncRNA from 1 species
AAAAUAUUGAAACCAAAUGUUCUUUUUUUCUGUGUAUAGCUGAAGUUCGCGAUGGUUUCCAAAGUGUUGGUGAUAAUUCUAUUGAUGGUAGCAAUUAACGGGGCCGUUGGUGGCUUGACAUGUGGUCAUAACUGCUGGCACAAUGACUGGCGUCAUAGAGAUGACCGAGCAAGAGAUGCUGGGCAGUACGGCAAAAGAUGUUCUGUUGCUUAUUUUUGGGGUGGACGGUGUUAUUGUUAUGGAUGGCCAUUUUGCCGUUAAACUAAACCAAGAACUAGCAAUUAGAACUUGAUUAAUUUGGAAGUAGAGCAAUGAACUCGAUUACUUUGGGAACAAGCAAUUUAACAGAACUUGAUUAAUUUCAUAACUAAGCAAUUAGAACUUGAUUAAUUUGAGGACUAGCAAUUAGGACUUGAUAAAGGUAAACAAUUUGUAGUAUUAUUUCUGUGGUAAUCGCCCGUUCAAUUUAUACGACAAAUCACAAUGAAAUAAAGACUUCUAAAUUUAUUUUUUUUACAAAAUUUCAAUGGAAUUUGAAUUGGGCUGCUUUCGUUGGUAGGAAUGCAACAUAGGCAGAUUUUACUCU